rnacentral:rRNA from 1 species
CCUACGGGUGGCAGCAGUGAGGAAUAUUGGUCAAUGGACGAGAGUCUGAACCAGCCAAGUAGCGUGAAGGAUGACUGCCCUAUGGGUUGUAAACUUCUUUUAUACAGGAAUAAAACGAGGUACGUGUGCCUUUUUGCAUGUACUUUAUGAAUAAGGAUCGGCUAACUCCGUGCCAGCAGCCGCGGUAAUAUGGAGGAUCCGAGCGUUAUCCGGAUUUAUUGGGUUUAAAGGGAGCGUAGAUGGGUUGUUAAGUCAGUUGUGAAAGUUUGCGGCUCAACCGUAAAAUUGCAAUUGCUACUGGCAGUCUAGAGUGCAGUUGAGGUAGGCGGAAUUCGUGGUGUAGCGGUGAAAUGCUUAGAUAUCACGAAGAACCCCGAUUGCGAAGGCAGCUUACUAAGCUGUGACUGACAUUGAUGCUCGAAAGUGUGGGUAUCAAACAGGAUUAGAUACCCGGGUAGUC